AUGCGAAGCCUCUCGCGAUCUAUUCUUAGACUUUGCCAACGCAGUAGUUUCUCCAAAAUCGGCUCCGCUAUGUCUUCCCUCAGGUGGCUCCCCGCGCUUGCCCCGCGUGACGCUCGACUCAUCGCCUCAACAUCUGCACAUCCUCUGCAUCCUUUUUCCCGCCAUGCUUGCACCCCCUGGAGCUUGGAGAGUAAAAUGCACACCUUCGUCCCAUUCACCUGUGGCACCUCCAAAUGCAUUGCCACUGCAAAGAUGAGGAAUAAGGCAACUACUACCAAAUGCACUGAUACGGCAAUGAGGAGGAAAAUUGUCACAAGUAGCAAUCCUAUGGUGGUUGAUGAUGUAUGGGUUCCGUUUAUCCUUCCGAAUAGCAGCCACCGUGAUGGUGCCAUAUACAAGAACGUGAUUUUGAAGGAAGACUGGUUUGAUAUCGAUUUUAUGAACCGUAAUGAGACUCGCUUGGAGCCAAUGAUGUUAUGUAAGCCAACCGAAGCAUGUUUACUGUAUGCAGAAAAUUGCAUGCAUUUUCCACAGCACAUGUUGCAGUUUUUCUCAUUGACGCUGGCAGAGUGUUUCAGCAAUAAUGGCCCAAUCCAGUUAUAUGGAUACAUAGCAGCACGGGAUGAGAGGGAUCGCAUGCUUAACUAUGUUUUAAAUCAUAGCAGAGACGAUCCCAUCACUGUACAGCAGGGUUCUCUUAUUCAAAUGACUGGUCCUAAGAGAGGCAUUGAAAUGUAUUCCCCAGUUUUUAUCGAGUUUGAUCUAAGGGUCAAGAAUGGAGGGAAAGAGGAGGACGAUCUUCAACUAAUUGAUGGAGCAAUAGCAUGCUAUGAUCAGAAACCAUGGAGACCAAUCAAACAUCGCAUUAAUGGCAAAUGUGGCACAGUUGACAUAUCUUUAGCAUAUGUUGAGCAUGCAGUGGAGGCAACAAUAGAAGUUGUCGUAUCAGAAGUACAUAGUGGCUUCAGUUUAUCUCUGAGCUCCUUGGUUUAUAUUGUGGAGAACUAUGAAGAAAUUCCUCUUUUUCAUGGUACUAUUGAUCAGUCGCGUGGCCUGAGAAGAUUUGUGGUUGCAGUCACGUCGGGCACCGUUAUGAAAUUGAAGUUCAGAUUUGGUAGCAAUAGUGUUGAGCGUUGUUGUUCCUUCAAAGCUAAGCUACAUGGAUGUGUUCGACGUCAGAUAAAGCAUGAGUUGGCUUCUAUCACGGUAAAAGUGUAUUGGUCCACUAUCUGA
rnacentral:rRNA from 1 species